AUGAAAACAGAGGAAGGCGUGCUGGGAUGCGCGAGUAUGGAGGGAUCUCUGCUUUGCCUGUGGUCGACGGAGGCUGGUCCCGACGGAGCCGUGGCAUGGAUGGAAAGCAGGGUCAUCGACCUCCACAAGCUGCUCCCUUCUAACUCAUUCCUCCAUGUGAUUGGCUUUGAGGAUAGAGCUGGUGUCUAUUAUCUGACGGCAGACUAUGGUGUCGCAACGGUUGAUCUUAAGUCAGGCCAAGUCAACAAGAUGUCCAUCAUCGAUUCCAAUAUCGUUCCCUACACAAGCUUCUACACUCCAGAUCAAGCCGUUGAGGUGGCCCAGGAGGGCAGAUGGGAGGAAGUGGGCGACAAGGAGGAGGAGGAGGCCGAUGAGGAAGUGGAGCAGCAGGUAGAGAAAGCCGUGCAGGAGCUUUUCACCAAGGGGUCCAAAGCCCUUAAGGAUGAGGACUUCUUCGGCGCUGAAGACUGCAAACGCAGGAUCCUUGAGAUCAGGGUGGCACAUCAUGGUAAACUUUCUCCAAAGUGUCGCAGUGCAUAUCACAAUUACGGAUGUGCUUUGCUACAGAAAGCUCUAUCAAAUCAUGAUUCAGUGAAGAAUACAACCACCCAAAGUAAUACUGAAAGCGAAAUAGUAGAGGAUUUGGAUCUGGCCUGGAAAAUGCUACAUGUUGCAAGGGCAAUAUCUGAGAAGAGUCCUGGCAGCACUAAUGAGAAAUAUAAACUCUUUGCUGCUCUUGCUAGAGUCUCUGUGGAAAGAGGAGACACAAACUACUCACUGAUUGCGUGCUUCAAAGCUUUGGCCAACAUGGAGCAUUUGCUUGAGCCUGACCAUCGUCAUAUUAUCAAUCAAAACCUACACAUACGUUUUGCCUUCGAGUUGCAGUCCAAGACUGGAGAUGCAAAGGCUAUCUCAUUGUGCAUGUCACGUGUAGAGAACCUGAAAAAGGCCAGUCAAGCUUUGUUGGCUGAUAAAGGCGGGGAUGCAUCUGCUACUGAAGCUGGCUCAGAAAAUUCCGUUCCAGCCAAGGUUAUAGAGUUUUUUACUAACAAAAUACUGAGUGCAUUGGAGGAGAAGCUUGUAGACCUGGAGCAAGCAAUAUCAACCCGAGUCUCAGAGGCAAGUGCUGGAGCUGACCUCGAGGCUGCAGGCUGGAUCUUCAAACGAGCUAAGCUCAAGCAAACCUCUGUAGAAGAUGAUGGCAGCGACGGCUCAUAUGGCGACAGCUAUGGCUCAGAUGUUGACAGCGGCGGCUCAUAUGGCGACAGCUAUGGCUCAGAUGACGACAGCGACGGCUCAGAUGGCGAUAGCGGCGGCUCAGAUGUCGACAGCGACGGCUCUGUUUCAGAGUAG
rnacentral:rRNA from 1 species